rnacentral:rRNA from 1 species
CCUACGGGAGGCAGCAGUGAGGAAUAUUGGACAAUGGGCGCAAGCCUGAUCCAGCCAUGCCGCGUGCAGGAAGAAGCAUCUAUGGUGUGUAAACUGCUUUUGUACAGGAAGAAACACUCCCUCGUGAGGGAGCUUGACGGUACUGUAAGAAUAAGGACCGGCUAACUCCGUGCCAGCAGCCGCGGUAAUACGGAGGGUCCGAGCGUUAUCCGGAAUCAUUGGGUUUAAAGGGUCCGUAGGCGGUUUAAUAAGUCAGUGGUGAAAUCUGGUCGCUCAACGAUCAAACGGCCAUUGAUACUGUUAGACUUGAAUUAUAAGGAAGUAACUAGAAUAUGUAGUGUAGCGGUGAAAUGCUUAGAUAUUACAUGGAAUACCAAUUGCGAAGGCAGGUUACUACUUAUGGAUUGACGCUGAUGGACGAAAGCGUGGGGAGCGAACAGGAUUAGAUACCCUGGUAGUCCACGCCGUAAACGAUGGAUACUAGCUGUUCGGAGCAAUCUGAGUGNGUAGACGAAGUAGAUAAGUAAUACCCACCGUCGGGUAGGUACGGUUCGUCGAAGAAGUAGAAACGUAACGAAAGUAAAGUAAGUAGGACGGUGAGAGACGACGACGACGGACGACGACGGGAGGGAGGAG